GUCGGUAGAGCACCUGACUUUUAAUCAGGGUGUCGAAGGUUCGAAUCCUUCAUGACUCA
rnacentral:tRNA from 1 species